AUGUGCAACAUCACAAUCAGUAGGGCAUUCUGUUGCCAGUAACCUGGAUACUGAGCCUGGUUUUGACCAACGGCAAAUUUUCGGAACUCCUGACAAUGCAGCAGGAAUCACAAGCCUUUUGAAUCAAAUCCUGUGAUUCAGGUCUUAAAACCUGAACUUGACUGCCUCCCCAUGGGAGUCACAAGUUCAGAACUACUGGCUUUUGUAAAAUUAGAUCAAUGAAAACCUUGAUACAAUCCUUGUCCACAUCUUCAAAACCAGAAGACCUCAUAUUCCAGUUUGCCCAGAAUAGUCCAGGUGUUCCAACAGCCCCAGCUGAGAUCUCAGAUAACAGCCAGUGUCAAUUGUUAAGCAGUCAGCAUUAUAAGAUAGUUAUCUCUCAUUUGGGAUGCUCACUCUUGGAACCCAGCCACCAUGUUGUGAGAAAGCUCAGGCCACAUGCAGAGGCCACAUAAAGUGAAGCCUGUGAAAAUUGAAUAAAGGAGGUGAAUCACAAUCUGGAGCUGACUUAAGAGAAUGAAUUCAAUGACAGCUACCUCAUAGGUUUGUUCUAAAAAAAAAUGUAAAAUUGUGUAAGUUAACACAGUGUCUGUAAAACCAUAAACACUCAAAAGAUUUUAGUGCUCUUUAAUUUCUUCUAACUUAAUCUUUGAUAAAAAGAUAUUCCCAUAAGUUAUUAUGUUU
rnacentral:lncRNA from 1 species